GCCUGGAUAGCUCAGUUGGUAGAGCAUCAGACUUUUAAUCUGAGGGUCCAGGGUUCAUGUCCCUUGUUCAAGUG